rnacentral:rRNA from 1 species
AUUGAACGCUGGCGGCAGGCUUAACACAUGCAAGUCGAGCGCGCGGCGGACGGGUGUGUAAUGUCUGGGAAACUGCCUGAUGGAGGGGGAAAACUACUGGAAACGGUAGCUAAUCCCGCAUACUAUCAGAUGUGCCCAGAUGGGAUUAGCUAGUCGGUGGGGAAAUGGCUCACCUAGGCGACGACCCCUAGCUGGUCUGAGAGGAUGACCAGCCACAGUUGAACUGAGACACGGUCCAGACUCCUACGUGAGGCAGCAGUGGGGAAUAUUGCACAAUGGGCGCAAGCCUGAUGCAGCCAUGCCGCGUGUGUGAAGAAGGCCUUCGAGUUGUAAAGCACUUUCAGCGAGGAGGCGUUACUCGCAGAAGAAGCACCGGCUAACUCCGUGCCAGCAGCCGCGGUAAUAC